GGGGAUGACACUUGGAAACAGGUGCUAAUACCGUAUAACAACGAAAUCCGCAUGGAUUUUGUUUGAGGGGUGGUUUCGGCUAUCACUUCUGGAUGAUCCCGCGGCGUAUUAGUUAGUUGGUGAGGUAAAGGCCCACCAAGACGAUGAUACGUAGCCGACCUGAGAGGGUGAUCGGCCACAUUGGGGCUGAGACACGGCCCAACCUCGUACGGGAGGCAGCAGUAGGGAGACUUCCACAAUGGACGAAAGUCUGAU
rnacentral:rRNA from 1 species